CGGCAUGCUUAACACAUGCAAGUUGAACGAAGGCCCGGGGCUUGCCCCGGUCACCUUAGUGGCGGACGGGUGAGUAACGCGUGGGAACCUGCCCAGGGGCGUGGAAUAACCAUUGGAAACGAUGGCUAGUACCGCAUACGUCCUCAGGGAGAAAGGCUUCGGCCACCCUUGGAUGGUCCCGCGUCUGAUUAGCUUGUUGGUGAGGUAACGGCUCACCAAGGCGACGAUCAGUAGCUGGUCUGAGAGGAUGAUCAGCCACACUGGGACUGAGACACGGCCCAGACUCCUACGGGAGGCAGCAGUGGGGAAUAUUGGACAAUGGGCGAAAGCCUGAUCCAGCAAUGCCGCGUGAGUGAAGAAGGCCUUAGGGUUGUAAAACUCUUUCGCCGGUGAAGAUGAUGACUGUAGCCGGUAAAGAAGCCCCGGCUAACUCCGUGCCAGCAGCCGCGGUAAUACGGAGGGGGCUAGCGUUGUUCGGAUUUACUGGGCGUAAAGCGCGCGUAGGCGGUAUAUCAAGUUAGGCGUGAAAGCCCCGGGCUCAACCCGGUAACUGCGCUUAUUACUGAUAAAACUAGAGUCCGGGAGAGGGUGGCGGAAUUC
rnacentral:rRNA from 2 species